GCUCAGAGAGAGGUGAGGAGCAGCGUGAUCAGACAGAACACAAAGCAGAGCGAUGUGAAGACCCACGUCGGGUGAAGAUAUCCUCACUCCCUCUCCCACUGAGCUCAAUAAACCAGUUUGUUCCUCUACACCGAGCGUCCUGCUCUGACCGGCCCGCCUCAUGUUUUGGAACUGCCACACUGUUCUCCGCGUUAUGGGGCGACUUUACCUCCCUUGGCCUUAACUCGAGGACCCUAUACACAAGCUCAAGAAGACAACGAAGAAGAAGAAGAAGAAGAAGAGUUUGGAACUUCAGGCUGGUGGAAGAGGCAAGUUCUCUAGCUUUAAAUGGCACCAUUAGGAGGAGCUCCUGUCCUCCAGGUGAGGCCGACAGCCGGCAGGUGAGGACAAUCGAUACUGGAGUGAGAACACACAUGACAGGGUGAACAUGACAGGGUGAACAUGACAGGGUGAACAUGACAUGGUGAACAUGACGGGGUGAACAUGACAGGGUGAACACGACGAGGUGAACAUGACGGGGUGAACACAGAGGUACCAAAAGGCGUACAACAUGACGGGGUGAACAUGAAGGGGUGAACACAGAGGUACCAAAAGGCGUACAACAUGACGGGGUGAACAUGACGGGGUGAACUCAGUGCUUGCCGGCGUGUUGCCUUCUCUGUUGACGUUCGUUGUUCUGUUUUCGUGCCUCAGACCUCAGAGGAAGUCUUGGAUAUACCAUGAGAAGAGCCAUACGUUAUCCGCUUGGAUAAAUGUGUAAAACAUCUUUCCAUGUUUAGCGAAGGAUUGUGUCACGACAAACACAAUCUGCUGAUUCUGCUGAGCGGUGGAGGCUUCAUAAGUGAGUCUGUGUGUAUUUAUGUCCCUGUGUCUAGUUGAACGCGUUAUGACGAUUCAGUUUAUUUUCCUUUUCCGAUGCGUACGUACAGUACGGUGUCUUGUUCUAUAAGGGUGCUCUUCCAAUAACACAAAGGCAGAGAGGAAACAUAUCCCCCACUUCUCCAGAGGCCUUAUCGACUGGAACAUGGACCUCAAAGGACU
ensembl:lncRNA